rnacentral:rRNA from 1 species
GAUCAUGGCUCAGGAUGAACGCUGGCGGCGUGCUUAACACAUGCAAGUCGAACGAAGCAAUUUAACGGAAGUUUUCGGAUGGAAGCUAGAUUGACUGAGUGGCGGACGGGUGAGUAACGCGUGGGUAACCUGCCUUAUACAGGGGGAUAACAGUUGGAAACGACUGCUAAUACCGCAUAAGCGCACGGUAUCGCAUGAUACAGUGUGAAAAACUCCGGUGGUAUAAGAUGGACCCGCGUCUGAUUAGCUUGUUGGUGAGGUAACGGCCCACCAAGGCGACGAUCAGUAGCCGGCCUGAGAGGGUGAACGGCCACAUUGGGACUGAGACACGGCCCAAACUCCUACGGGAGGCAGCAGUGGGGAAUAUUGCACAAUGGGGGAAACCCUGAUGCAGCGACGCCGCGUGAGUGAUGAAGUAUUUCGGUAUGUAAAACUCUAUCAGCAGGGAAGAUAAUGACGGUACCUGACUAAGAAGCACCGGCUAAAUACGUG